CGAGUCAUGGACUGGACUUGAUUCGAAGGGRAUKGAUCCCGUAGCGUUAUGURAGAUGGGGACCCCAUGGCGAGCGACCUCUGUUCUUACUGACGCUGAGGCGCGAAGCGGGGAGCGAACAGAUAAUACCUGUAGUCACSCGUAACGAUGAGUGCUAAGUGUUAGAGGGUUCCGCCUUUAGUGCUGCAGCAAACGCAUUAAGCACUCCCCUGGGGAGUACGGUCGCAAGACUGAAACUCAAAGGAAUUGACGGGGGCCCGCACAAGCGGUGGAGCAUGYGGUUUAAUUCGAAGCAACGCGAAGAACCUUACCAGGUCUUGACAUCCUCUGACAACCCUAGAGAUAGGGCUUCCCCUUCGGGGGCAGAGUGACAGGUGGUGCAUGGUUGUCGUCAGCUCGUGUCGUGAGAUGUUGGGUUAAGUCCCGCAACGAGCGCAACCCUUGAUCUUAGUUGCCAGCAUUCAGUUGGGCACUCUAAGGUGACUGCCGGUGACAAACCGGAGGAAGGUGGGGAUGACGUCAAAUCAUCAUGCCCCUUAUGACCUGGGCUACACACGUGCUACAAUGGGCAGAACAAAGGGCAGCGAAGCCGCGAGGCUAAGCCAAUCCCACAAAUCUGUUCUCAGUUCGGAUCGCAGUCUGCAACUCGACUGCGUGAAGCUGGAAUCGCUAGUAAUCGCGGAUCAGCAUGCCGCGGUGAAUACGUUCCCGGGCCUUGUACACACCGCCCGUCACACCACGAGAGUUUGUAACACCCGAAGUCGGUGAGGUAACCUUUUGGAGCCAGCCGCCGAAGGUGGGACAGAUGAUUGGGGGAAGUCGUAACAAGGUAGCCGUAUYGGAAGGUKCCC
rnacentral:rRNA from 1 species